rnacentral:lncRNA from 1 species
AAGCCGCCCCCGAGGCUACUCCCAUCGCUGCCGAGGCCGAGGAGGUCCCGACUGCUGAGCCCGCCGCUCCCGACACUGCCGAAGCCGAAGUGGUCGGGCUCGGGCCUUAAGAGUGUAAUUUUGUUUUGUUUUGUAAAGUCGGGAUGGCCUCCCGUACUUGUAAGGGCCGAACUCGAAUUUUGUACUUGGCCUACGGGCCUUUUUGAAAUGAAUGCAU